AUCCAUUCUUUUGCUGGUGGGCAUCUAGGCUAGUUCUGUUCUUGGGCUGUGAUGGACAGGACAACAACAAGCAGGGUGUGGAGAGUCCUUCUGUGAUGGAUAUGGAG
ensembl:miRNA